GGCCAGUUAGCUCAGUCAGUUGAGCGUGGCACUAACAAUGCUAAGCUUGGGGGUUCGAUUCCUGUUCAGUCCC
rfam:Apaloderma vittatum contig94702, whole genome shotgun sequence.